GAUGAACGCUGGCGGCGCGCCUAACACAUGCAAGUCGAACGGCACCCCUCCUCGGAGGGAAGCGAGUGGCGAACGGCUGAGUAACACGUGGAGAACCUGCCCCCUCCCCCGGGAUAGCCGCCCGAAAGGACGGGUAAUACCGGAUACCCCGGGGUGCCGCAUGGCACCCCGGCUAAAGCCCCGACGGGAGGGGAUGGCUCCGCGGCCCAUCAGGUAGACGGCGGGGUGACGGCCCACCGUGCCGACAACGGGUAGCCGGGUUGAGAGACCGACCGGCCAGAUUGGGACUGAGACACGGCCCAGACUCCUACGGGAGACAGCAGUGGGGAAUCUUGCGCAAUGGGGGGAACCCUGACGCAGCGACGCCGCGUGCGGGACGGAGGCCUUCGGGUCGUAAACCGCUUUCAGCAGGGAAGAGUCAAGACUGUACCUGCAGAAGAAGCCCCGGCUAACUACGUG
rnacentral:rRNA from 1 species